GGGCCUGUAGCUCAGCUGGUUAGAGCAAUCCGCUCAUAACGGAUCGGUCGUUGGUUCAAGUCCAACCAGGCCCACCA
rnacentral:tRNA from 1 species